rnacentral:rRNA from 1 species
UACGGGGGGAGCAAGCGUUGUUCGGAUUUACUGGGCGUAAAGAGCGCGCAGGCGGUCGUUCAAGUCGAGUGUGAAAGCCCCCGGCUCAACUGGGGAGGGUCAUUCGAUACUGAUCGACUGGAAGGCAGGAGAGGGAAGCGGAAUUCCCGGUGUAGUGGUGAAAUGCGUAGAUAUCGGGAGGAACACCAGUGGCGAAGGCGGCUUCCUGGCCUGUUCUUGACGCUGAGGCGCGAAAGCUAGGGGAGCAAACGGG